AGGGGCCACUCCCCAAGGGAGGCAGCCAGUCACUCGCCCGCCCCGCCAGGCCCGCUCCUGAGGGGACGGACUCCCGCCCGCCCUCACACCGCGCCUCACGCCAGGCCCCCAGGCUUCGGGUACCUCUCACCUUUGACGACGCGGUCGGCCCCGAGAGGGGGCGGUGGGGGCGGGGGCGGGGGCGGCGCGGCCCGGGCCGGCUCCGGGGCGGCCAUGCUGGGCCCGGGGCUCGGCUAGGUGCCGGGACGGGCGGGGUUGGGGGCGGGGGCGGCGGCUACCAGAGCCAAGCGGCGGCGCCGCCGGGGAACAUGGCGGACCCUCUUUCCCUUCAGAGGGGCUAAGACCGUCAUGCAUCGCGCGUGCAGGGGCGGGGGCGGGACAAGCUCCAGGGACUUGAGCAAAAUUACCGAGGCUACUACAGAAACGGAAACAGUCCAAGGGAUCAGGUGAAAAUUCCGUACAUGCAGAAAGACAAACCAGUAAAGAGAGGUUGCAGAUUAAACUGAGGGGCUGUUGAUAAAAUGCAAGGGGAAAAAAGGACGGUUUUUUGGCCGCUUUGGAGCCCAGGAAAAUGAAGAGGUGUAAUUUGAUCUCAGAAUUUCCCAGGCCUAGACAAAUAUAUGACAAUUUAUCUACAAAAUCUAAGUGAUAAUACUAUGGCCAGAGAGAAAAAUGAAAGAAGCAUCAGGGAAUCUAUAGAGUGGCAUUAUCAUUUAAAAUGAAAUUUUCCCUUUAAUACCAGACCUCAGGAGGCAGGGGAAGGCAGAACUCUGUAAGUUCAAGUCUAGCUAGGUCUAACCACUCAGGGCAACAAAGUGAGACUGUCUCAACAAAACGGGGCCCUAGAGAGUUGCAUAGAAUUCGAACUCUUGCUUUGAGAGUUUGGAAAAGUCCAAAGGCACAUAAAUUCAGCUGGAAAAGUCUAAGCACCACGAUUUAAGAACCAAAAUGGAUCAAGGGAAGUAGGGAAUGACACCAAGAGGUGUCCUGAGAACCUGUAAGAUUCCCCUGGAAAGCCAUUGCCUCUCUCGUAAUUCACUGAGCAAAUAAAUUUGAAGGCAGAGAGAUGGUUCAAUGGAUAAAGGUGCUUGCAGCCAAGGACUGUGAUUUAAGUUCCUUAGGACUAAUCCCCAUGGCCGAAGGAGACAAUGGAAAGAAGGAAUUAGACUCCUUCUAGUCUGACAUCUACUAAAACUUGUAAAUAAAGAAAUG
rnacentral:lncRNA from 1 species